rnacentral:rRNA from 1 species
GAAGAGCUUGCUCAGAUAUGACGAUGGACAUUGCAAAGAGUGGCGAACGGGUGAGUAACACGUGGGAAACCUACCUCUUAGCAGGGGAUAACAUUUGGAAACAGAUGCUAAUACCGUAUAACAAUAGCAACCGCAUGGUUGCUACUUAAAAGAUGGUUCUGCUAUCACUAAGAGAUGGUCCCGCGGUGCAUUAGUUAGUUGGUGAGGUAAUGGCUCACCAAGACGAUGAUGCAUAGCCGAGUUGAGAGACUGAUCGGCCACAAUGGGACUGAGACACGGCCCAUACUCCUACGGGAGGCAGCAGUAGGGAAUCUUCCACAAUGGGCGAAAGCCUGAUGGAGCAACGCCGCGUGUGUGAUGAAGGGUUUCGGCUCGUAAAACACUGUUGUAAGAGAAGAAUGACAUUGAGAGUAACUGUUCAAUGUGUGACGGUAUCUUACCAGAAAGGAACGGCUAAAUACGUGCCAGCAGCCGCGGUAAUACGUAUGUUCCAAGCGUUAUCCGGAUUUAUUGGGCGUAAAGCGAGCGCAGACGGUUAUUUAAGUCUGAAGUGAAAGCCCUCAGCUCAACUGAGGAAUUGCUUUGGAAACUGGAUGACUUGAGUGCAGUAGAGGAAAGUGGAACUCCAUGUGUAGCGGUGAAAUGCGUAGAUAUAUGGAAGAACACCAGUGGCGAAGGCGGCUUUCUGGACUGUAACUGACGUUGAGGCUCGAAAGUGUGGGUAGCAAACAGGAUUAGAUACCCUGGUAGUCCACACCGUAAACGAUGAGUGCUAGGUGUUUGAGGGUUUCCGCCCUUAAGUGCCGCAGCUAACGCAUUAAGCAC